UCCCUGGUGGCUCAGAUGGUAAAGCAUCUGCCUGCAAUGCAGGAGACCCAGGUUCAAUUCCUGGGUUGGGAA
rnacentral:tRNA from 1 species